CAGCCCCUGCAGAAUUUUCUUCUACUUACACCGGGACUGCAGUGCAACUUCCACCCACCCCAACAACGAACCCACCACCAGCCAGCACGCAGUCCCUAUGCCGGAAGCACAUGCAGCUCUGUCCUGAACCAAAUCCAUAAUUGUAGCAUACAGACAUCAUGACUGCAGAAACAGAAAGAACCACCAUUCCUGUCUAUAGUUGAGGAAAAGGUCACAUAGAAAGUUGUUUGAGCAACAGGCACUCCCAGGAUUUGUUAUGCAAUAGAUUCUCAGCAGCAAGCAAAAGAAAAAGAACCAGUUUGCUUGUAACCCUUCAAUGAUCCGCUCCGGAUGAGUGGAGAGGCAGGAGGAGGACUGUACUAUAAACCCUCUCGUUUGGGCUUGACUAGCUAACAAUCUUAAUCUUCCCUGCUGUUUGUUAUUGAUCUUGCAGUUCUAAAGCAUGCAACCGAGGUGGUAAAUGACAGGUUACCAAAGCAUACUCUUCUCUGAAUUUACUCUAUGCAUUCCUGAAUGCUUGUUUAUUGCUAGUGUUAUAGUCUUGUGGGGUGGAAGAAGCAGGUAUUUCCCUAUAGAAAUAGCCUGCCAUAUGGUUUGGAAGUCAUCCAGGGAGCUCAUGGGUAAGUUGUACCAUAUGAUGGUAUCCAUGCAGUAUUUACAGGGAGGAUCCUAUGGGCACUACCUUGUUCACAGAUUAUUGUUAUAUGAAAAGUUAUGUGAAGAACCCAUUCCGCAUUAAAUUUCCACAAGUGUGUGCUCACAGAGUGGCUUCAGAGUUAUCAUUUGA